AGAGAAUAGAUACCCGGGUAGUCCACGCCGUAAACGAUGGAAGCUAGCCGUUGGUAAGCAUGCUUAUCAGUGGCGCAGCUAACGCAUUAAGCUUCCCGCCUGGGGAGUACGGUCGCAAGAUUAAAACUCAAAGGAAUUGACGGGGGNCCCGGCACAAGCGGUGGAGCAUGUGGUUCAAUUCGACGCAACGCGAAGAACCUUACCAGCCCUUGACAUGUCCAGGACCGGUCGCAGAGACGCGACCUUCUCUUCGGAGCUUGGAACACAGGUGCUGCAUGGCUGUCGUCAGCUCGUGUCGUGAGAUGUUGGGUUAAGUCCCGCAACGAGCGCAACCCUCGUCCUUAGUUGCCAUCAUUUAGUUGGGCACUCUAAGGAGACUGCCGGUGAUAAGCCGCGAGGAAGGUGGGGAUGACGUCAAGUCCUCAUGGCCCUUACGGGCUGGGCUACACACGUGCUACAAUGGCGGUGACAAUGGGCAGCGAACCAGCAAUGGGGAGCUAAUCUCAAAAAGCCGUCUCA
rnacentral:rRNA from 1 species